rnacentral:rRNA from 1 species
UGGCGGACGGGUGAGUAACGCGUGGGUAACCUGCCUCAUACAGGGGGAUAACAGUUAGAAAUGACUGCUAAUACCGCAUAAGACCACAGCACCGCAUGGUGCAGGGGUAAAAACUCCGGUGGUAUGAGAUGGACCCGCGUCUGAUUAGGUAGUUGGUGGGGUAACGGCUUACCAAACCGACGAUCAGUAGCCGACCUGAGAGGGUGACCGGCCACAUUGGGACUGAGACACGGCCCAA